rnacentral:tRNA from 1 species
AAGACUUUAAGUUAAAAUUAAACUAAUAUCCUUCAAAGUUAUCAAUAAAGAAAAUUUCUUUAAGUUUUA